AACUCUUAAGACUUAUCUGUUCGAGAGUUUGGUAUGUGGACACUGUAAGAGAAAACAGACGGGAAUCGACGAGAGUUUCUUGUGAAAAGAAAUUCAUCGAAAGGCUUAGAAAAAGUCGUAACCAAUUCUGAUUCAUCUUGAGUGUUUCAAAGUGAUGAAUUUCAUGUUAUAAUCUACUGAUUUCCAUGGAGAUUUGGAAGUAAUCAAAGAAGGGUUUUUCUUUGUUCUUGUUUGAUGGUUAAAGGUUGUACUGUUUGAAUAGGUGUCUUUGAAUUCAGUGGGCGGAUUGCGAAGUUUGAGGUUUGAGUAGCAGUUGAGGUGGGAACUUGCAUUACUUUUUCGUAACCAUUGAUGGCUUUACAAAAUUAUGUUUAUGCACUCUUACAAAUUCAUGCAUUAUUAUUUUCCAUUCUUGAAAAUUCUGUAGAUUCUAUUACUCUUUCCAUCACUUGGAAAAGACCUGGUUUGUGCUUGUUCGCCUCUGUGAUUGUGUGGGAAAUAAGAAUUUCCUUUUUGCGGUAUAUAGGACUCUGCUCCUUCUUUUUAUAACUACUUACAUUCAGCUUUUA